CAUUCUACCUUUUUCUACAAUGAAUCCACCAGCAGAAAUUCCUGUACACAUCUUAUCAACAAAGAAUUUGAACCUCAAAGAGUGGCUCAAAGAGGUCAGGAGGCACCUUCAACACUUUUGUUGGAGAUCUCCUUGUCUAGAUCAUCAGAUUCUCACUCUGUCACCUAGGCUGCAGUGCAGUGGUGCGAUCUCAACUCACUGCAACCUCUACCUCCUGGGUUCAAGCAAUUCUCCUGCCUCAGCCUCCCAAGUAGCUGGGAUUACAGGUGAGCGCCACCACGCCUGGCUAAUUUUUGUAUUUUUAGUAGAAACAAACAGGGUUUCUCCAUGUUGGCUAGGCUGGUCUCAAACUCCUUACCUCAGGUGAUCCACCUUGCCUCAGCCUCCCAAAGUGCUGCAGUUACAGGCGUAAGCCACUGCCUGGCCUAAGAUAUUUAUUUUAAAUUGUAUUUAUGGUUAGAAAAAAUAUUCAUUUAUAGUGAUGUAAAUUAUCUGAUUGAUUAAA
rnacentral:sRNA from 1 species